AAACUCAAGACAAGGGGCUCGGGCAAGGGCCACAGUCACCGCGAACUGAACUCAUAAAGGCGCCUCGUUUCUUUUCCUCUAUCAGCUCACUCCUGGGACUCCUCUUCCUCCUCAGACCUCAAUACAGAGGUGCUCUUCCAGGCCAGCCCUUGCUCCUGGCUUCCCUCCCUCCUUCCCUGAGCUCCCUGGUCCAGAGCCAAGGCCAGCCAGCCUGUGCGGCGCUCUCCCGUGUUCUGGGAAGGGCAUCCCUCUGGGCAAAUGCAACCUGCAGGCCUAGGGCUGGGCAAGCUGACUGCCAUGCCUUUUGUGCAAAGGAAAAGGAGCCCCUUGCUUCAGACAGGGCAGCACACAGCUUGUAUGUUUAGCUCCACUUGAAAGCCAGGUGCUUUGGGCAGUGCACCAACCGUACCACUGUACGCGGCAGCCCUGCUUCGGAUCCCCAAUCCAGUGGCCUUGAAUAUUCAGUGGUGUGAUCUCUUGCUAGCCAUGCAGUUAUGUUCCUGAUAAACAGCCAGGCCGCUAAACUGCAGCUGGAAAGACAAAGUCACAAUGAGAACCGAAUGGCGUGGAAUGAACGUCGCUCAAGCCACGUGUGUGUUAAGAAGCCGCCCCUCUCAGCUCCUGCCCCCUUCUCUCUGCCUUCUUUUCCUGCGACACGUGGGGCCGUCGGGUUCAGACUGGAGGCUCCUGAGUUGGAAGCUGGCCCGCCGGCCAUGGGCCUCCCUGGUGAUUUCGGGCGAAUGGCUUAACUGCAACAUCCAGUUUAGGGUCCUUGGCGCACAGUGACAUUGUCCUUUGAUUGGUCUCGAAGGGAAAAUACCUACAAACAUAAGGAGCACGUGCAAGGAAUGUGUGUGUCUCUUGCCAAAAAUUUCAACAAUGGAGAAAUGCAGAAAAGUGAAAAAA
rnacentral:lncRNA from 1 species